CUUUUCCAUUAUUUGUAGCCAUUUGAAAUGUAUUAGGAUGUUUGUCUUUAUUUGAAAUGUUUUUAAAAUACUUGGUUUAAUGUGCACUCGCUGGAAAUUUAUUGAAUGUACCAUUUUUUGUUAUUCUGACAGAAACAAGGUAAAGGUUCAGCAACGUGUAAUUUUGCAAGCAGGUUCCUGUUGAAGCUUCACUGAGGAAUUGUAAAAACCUGUAGUAACUUAUUACAGUUCCUACAUCAGAUGAGGCUUAAAUUACAAGUGUUUACUAGCAUUCUUAUUUUAAUUUAUUUCAUAUAAACUGUGUUCAUUUCUUGAAUUCUUUUUAUCAGGGUAUUCACAUUAUAAAUGUUAAUUUGAUCAGCUUGACUAGCAUAAAUUCAAUUUAAAGUUUAUGUAAGAAUUUUUUUAAAAAAUAUACCCAACUUCUUAUACCCAUCAAAUACCCAAAAUAUAUUAGCCUUAAUUGUUGGGGCUUAGCAAAAGGAAGGUACCUUGUACUGAAUUGAAUAGUUUUCAUAGUUCCUUUUUUUUUCCCUUCAUUUAGACCUUCCAAACAGUAGAAAAUAAGCUUUAAAGAUAAUGAUAUUCUUCUGACAACCAUUGCUUGUGCUUCAAAUCUGUUUACUUAUUUGAAAUGGCACAUGAAAAAUAAAGCUCGCACCAUGCCAUAUAAAUGAAAGAAUUGUUAUAAACUUGCAUUGUUUUUCCAUGAUGAUUACACAUUUUUCCUUGUAGUGUGCAUGUAUUGAAGAAAUAGAAGAUUUUUCUCACUGUUUCUGCCUUUCAAGGGCAAUGACUAUAAAUUCAAUAUGGGUCAAAAUAGCAAAGAAACCAAGCACAGUAUGGACCAAUACUUUAAAAAGCUGCAACAUUUCUCUUAAAGUACAUGUCUAGCAGGAAAUGAGGUUUGGCACAAAGUAAAAACCAGCUGCACCAGAGAUGUUCAAGCUUUAUUUUAAGGCUCUUGCGUUAGUAUUUUGAAAUGUACAAAAUGGUACUGCUCUUCUUUAUUUUAAAACAAACUUGAGAAAUGUUUCACACUCAAGUUGUAGACAAGUGCAUCAAAUUGAAUAUACAGACUUCCUUUGUUUAGUUGAACAA